UACGUAGGGGGCUAGCGUUGUCCGGAAUCAUUGGGCGAAAGCGCGUGUAGGCGGUCCGGUAAGUCCGCUGUGAAAGUCGGGGGCUCAACCCUCGGAUGCCGGUGGAGUACUGUCGGGCUUGAGUACGGAAGAGGCGAGUGGAAUCCUGGUGUAGCGGUGGAAUGCGCAGAUAUCAGGAGGAACACCAAUAGCGAAGGCAGCUCGCUGGGACGGUAGCUGACGCUAAGGC
rnacentral:rRNA from 1 species